GACGAACGCUGGCGGCGUGCUUAACACAUGCAAGUCGAACGAUGAAGCCCAGCUUGCUGGGUGGAAGAGUGGCGAACGGGUGAGUAACACGUGAGUAACCUGCCCCUGACUCUGGGAUAAGCGCUAGAAAUGGCGUCUAAUACUGGAUAUGACCUAUCACCGCAUGGUGUGUAGGUGGAAAGAUUUAUCGGUUGGGGAUGGACUCGCGGCCCAUCAGCUUGUUGGUGAGGUAAUGGCUCACCAAGGCGACGACGGGUAGCCGGCCUGAGAGGGUGACCGGCCACACUGGGACUGAGGCACGGCCCAGACUCCUACGGGAGGCAGCAGUGGGGAAUAUUGCACUAUGGGCGCAAGCCUGAUGCAGCAACGCCGCGUGAGGGAUGACGGCCUUCGGGUUGUAAACCUCUUCUAGUAGGGAAGAAGCGCAAGUGACGGUACCUGCAGAAAAAGCACCGGCUAACUACGUGCCAGCCGCCGCCGUAA
rnacentral:rRNA from 1 species